rnacentral:rRNA from 1 species
AGUUUGAUCAUAGCUCAGAUUGAACGCUGGCGGAUGCUUUACACAUGCAAGUCGAACGGCAGCACGGACUUCGGUCUGGUGGCGAGUGGCGAACGGGUGAGUAAUGUAUCGGAACGUGCCUAGUAGCGGGGGAUAACUACGCGAAAGCGUAGCUACCGCAUACGCCCUUCGGGGGAAAGCGGGGGGACCUUCGGGCCUCGCACUAUUAGAGCGGCCGAUAUCGGAUUAGCUAGUUGGUGGGGUAAUCACUCAUAGCGAUUAUCCGUAGCUGGUUUGAGAGGACGACCAGCCACUGGGACUGGAGACACGGCCCAGACUCCCUACGGGAGGCAGCAGUGGGAAUUUUGGACAAUGGGAAACCCGAUCCAGCCAUCCCGCGUGUGCGAUGGAAGGCCUUCGGGUUAGAAAGCACUUUUGGCAGGAGUAAGAAACGGCACGGGAUAAUACCCCUGUGCAACUGACGGUACUCAAGAAUAAGCACCGGCUAACUACGUGCCAGCAGCCGCGGUAAUACGUAGGGUGCAAGCGUUAAUCGGAAUUACUGGGCGUAAGCGUGCGCAGGCGGUUCGGAAAGAAAGAUGUGAAAUCCCAGAGCUUAACUUGAACUGUAUUUUAAUCACCGAGCUAGAGUGUGUCAGAGGGAGGUGGAAUUUUGUGUGUAGCAGUGAAAUGCGUGUAGAUAUGCGGAGGAACACCGAUGAAGUAGCGCAGCCCCUGGGAUAACACUGACGCUCAUACCAGGCGUGGGGAGCAAACAGGAUUAGAUACCCUGGUAGUCCACGUUCUAAACGAUGUCAAUUAGUUUAGCGGCAUGGCGGUGCUGGCCUUCGGGCCUGGUAGCGCAGCUAACGCGUGAAGUUGACCGCCUGGGGAGUACGGUCGCAAGAUUAAACUCAAAGGAAUUGAUUAACCCGCACAAGCGGUGGAUGAUGUGAUUAAUUCCGAUGCAACGCGAAAAACCUUACCUACCCUGACAUGUCUGGAAUCCCGAAGAGACGGGGAGUGCUCGCAAGAGAACCGAACACAGGUGCUGCAUGUAUGAGCCGUCAGCUCGUGUCGUGAGAUGUUGGGUUAAGUCCCGCAACGAGCGCAACCCUUGUCAUUAGUUGUUACGAAAGGGCACUCUAAUGAGACUGCGACAAACCGAGGAAGGCGGGGAUGACGUCAAGUCCUCAUGGCCCUGCAUGGGUAGGGCUCACAUCAAGUCAUACAAUGGUCGGACAGAGGGUCGCCAACCCGCGAGGGGGAGCCAAUCCCAGAAACCCGAUCGUAGUCCGGAUCGCAGUCUGCAACUCGACGGUGUAGUCGGAAUCGCUAGUAAUCGCGGACCACAUGUCGCGGUGAAUACGUUCCCGGGUCUUGUACACACCGCCCGUCACACCAUGGGAGUGGGUUUACCAGAAGUAGUUAGCCUAACCGUGGGCGGAGGGCGAUUACCACGGUAGGACCAUGACUGGGGUGAAGUCAAAUAAGGUA